GGGGAGUAAGCGAUGGAGGGUUCGGGAGAGAAAGGGGAGGAGGCGGUGGGUGAGGAAGGAGAGGCAGGGGGUGCACUUGAGCCAGAGGCGGCGGAGCAAGUGUGGGCCGGAGGGGCCGGAGGUGGAGGACAUGGGCUGGAGGUAGGCCCAGGCGGCCUGCUUGACAAGGCGGUUGCGGAUGGAGAUCUCGUAGCCGGAGUUGGUGGAGUUGGGCGACGGGGACUGGACGGCGGCGAAGGAGGAGGAGGGGAGGAGGUCCUUGAGGGAGGUGUAGGACUCGGAGAGAAGCUCCAGGUCGAGCUGCGGCGGCCGAUGGCGCGGCGUCACGGCGCCGUUUUGGGGUGGGAAGCUGCAGCUGUGGCGGGGCAUAUUAUUGGUGGGAGUGGUGGGACUGGUGGAGAGGUGGCUGAGCUUGGUGGCGACGACGACGGAGGUGGAGAUGGAGUUGCGGCGGCGGAGCUUCCAUGAGGGGUCGAGUGGGCCCACCAGGCGCGGCGGAGCAGGGAGGGCGGUGGAGUCGUCCUCGUCCAUAGUGAAGACUGAAGAGGAGAAGGAGAAGGAGAAGGAGAAAACGCGUGCUGUGUGGAAGAAAUAGAGAGGGGUGUUGGGUUUGGCGGGUUGCGCUAGGCAAUUAUUCGUUUGGGGGG
rnacentral:lncRNA from 1 species